UGAUGUCGUCAUUAUUUCCGUUUGCCUUUUGCCCUUUCCAUUCAACAAGGACCCAGCACCGGCAGCUGCGACAGCACUGGGUUUUAUGGGAAUCAGAUCCUUCAGUAUUUUAUUUUACCCGGUUGAUUGAGUCAUUCAUUUCACCCCAUCUUUUUUUAUUGCAAUCAUCGCAGGCGCAAAGACUUCGAAUUCUAUGCUUCCAAAGUAAUUCAUUACGUUCUAAAUUUUUCACAGAUAUUUUCAUCCAUGGCUGCUGAUAUAUCUCCAAAUUCUUCUUGAUGCUGCGGAAGAUAUUGUUGAAAUAGGAAAAACUGGUUGGAGAGAUCAAUUGUUGCUCUGAUUUGAUUUUGAUUGAAGAGGGAUGGGUUCAUUCAUGGGGCAUGUUCUGCCAGGAACGCUGUUUCUAGCAGUGGGUUUGUGGCACAUAUGGAGCGCAGUGGUGAGAUUUGUGAUGAACCCAAAGGGGUUUCAGGUUCGGGUUUGGAACCCUGUGUCUGGUUUUAAUGGAAGGCUUAGAUACUUGGAGCUUUAUGUGGUGGCAAUCGGAGCUUUUAUUGAUAUGUGCAUAGAGCUUUUGUAUUCAACUCAUCUCCAGUUCUUUGUGAAUGGGGUCUUGAACCCAUCUCACAUGAAUGACUUUGAGCACUCUGGGAUGCUUCUCAUGUUCUUUAUUUUCGGGGUCGUCGCCUUGCUCUCUCAGCAAACCGGCUUAGUUCCCUUGCCAGAAGGAGCUCUCUGCUUGAUUGCUGCCACAGCGUUCUCUGCAGAGUAUUUCCUAUUCUAUUUUCAUUCAACAACCCAUAAAGGACUUGAGGGGUACUACCACCUUCUCCUUGUGAUCCUGAUCGGCCUAUGCAUUUUAUCCACUAUUUUUGGGGCCCUCAUGCCAACCAGCUUUCCAGUUGAUCUGUGUUGUGGCAUUGCUAUAGCCCUCCAAGGCCUCUGGUUUUAUCAGACUGCCUUCACUCUCUAUGGGCCUAUGAUGCCAGAAGGUUGCCGGCUUAAAGAAAAUAUGAUAUCAUGUCAUUCACCAGAAUAUCAAGUUCGGGGCGAGUUGCUGGCUAACUUCCAGCUAUUUAUCAUAGCAUUUGGUGUCCUUGUUGCAGUUGUAGGAUCAUAUGGCUUCGCUGCUUCAAGAUUUGGGCAUCCUGAUCUUAGGAGCUUGUGUGUAGCAGAGAAUGAACUAGAUCGAGAUUAAAGUGCGGAAAAAUAAGGAAAGAGAUCACUUCCCUUCAAGAUCAUGUAUGCGAGAGGGUUUGGAUGGGAUGAGUUUCUGAUACAUGUUGAGCAAGUGAUUCACAUUAAAGUUAACAUAGAGGGUUUUUCUUUUCUUUUUCUUUUUGUCUAAGUAUUCAUUGCUGGGGAAGCAAGUAAUGUAGACCACAUUCUUAUGGACAUUACUUAUAUAAAUGCAAAUGUUAUGUAGGGAAUGACCCUUCAGCAUUAUUUACUUAUCCUUAGUUUGUGGAUCCUAGUUCUCUUUACUUUUUCAGGCAAUUAUUACUUUUGAGAUGUAUUCGACCUUAAGGCCUGGUCUACUAUUACUCCA